rnacentral:lncRNA from 1 species
GGGCUUGUGAGCAUAUUUAUUUUAAUGCCUUUUGUGAUAUUGUACUUUUUGAAUUUUUUAAAUUGUCUGUAGGGCAGGGAUUAAGUCUAGGCCUUGUCCGUGCAUGCAGGGCAAGCGCUCUGCAACCCAGCUCCAUUCCCAGCCCUGCUCUGCAUUUAAUUACAGUUUUAAAGGACUCAGCCCUCCAUCGCUUCUCAGCCCUUUGGCUAAAAUCAAGUGGAAAGAGCUCAGCCCAGGGCUGGCAUUCCUACACUCUCGUUUCUGUCCUGCUUCAGCCGUUUCUGGCAGCAGGAAUCUGAGCAGACAAUAGUGCAAUUUGUUUCCAGCUAGAACUUGUUGCCAACCAGCCUAGGGUUCUUUUGCUCCACGUGGACGGAAAUCGUGAAUCGGCAAAGUGCAGCUCUGUUAGCAAAUCAGAUGUCCCCAGAGGACACCAGGUAAUGCUGGAUGCCAGUAGCUGACUCCGCCAGCUGCCGGUCACUGCCACUGCCAGCCGUCACAGUCCAACGCCAGUCACCGUCCAAGAAUUCUUUUUUGGGAUGGAAAAAUCCCACAAAUCACCUCUGCAAGAGACUCCAGCACCCCAGAAGUCCAGUAACAGCAGGACACUGUAAGUCAACUCCACUGGGGGGUGGGUCUCUGCCACCACCCUUGGAUGGCUGCUGGUCUCCUGAGCUCUUCCAUGUUUACAGCCCUGUUUAUUCACGCUGUCCACACUACUCAGGAUAAAAGGCACAUGAGGGUUUACGGGACUUUUGGAGCCCACAGUGCCUGAGAAACAAACAGCUGAGCAGGUUUACAGGAACCCCAAAGCAAGUCUUUGUUGUUGUUGUUUUUUUUAACUUUAAAGAGUAAAAGAAGGAUAACAUAAUAAUAGGGGGGCUUACCAAAUUACAGACAAAGUGGUAGGAAACUAUCAAUGGUUAUUGUUUUACAUAUUGUUAUCUACAAGAUAGUUUGUCAGGAAAACAAAUAGACAAAUAAUAGUGAGUUACAGACAAAAGAGGUAGGAGAUUAUCAAUAGUGGUUGUACUAUACUUUGGUAUCUUCAAAGUGGCUUCUAAAGGAAAUAAAUAGAGCUAUACAUGAGUGACCUAUUGAAUAAUCAUUAACUUUUCUCAAUGGUUGUUGUAGGAAACACAUAAUAAUAAACAUACAUCCAUUUAUGAAAUAGGAUACAAACAAUACAAACAUUACAGAGUUAUGGGUAGAUUAGUAGGAAAAUAUCAAUGGCCAAAGCAAGUCUUUAUCCCCUACCCCCGUACCAGGAAUUGAAUUCAUGACCUCACGUUUGCCAGGCAGGCGCUGUGCCGCUGAGCUAAAUCCCCAGCCCUGAGUCUUUAUCUUGACAGGGCCUGUGCUGCAGCAGAGUGUGCUCAGUAUACAGGGGGGAGCCCUCCUAGAUUAAAACUCAAAGAGUGCCUGAAGAGCUACUUAUGUAGCCACUUACAGACCUGUUUCAGUGAGGGUGAGGGCUGAAACCAGGGAAUCUUCUGGAAGGCCUGCUGUGCAUGCUGGCCCCAAUCCCUCCCUUAUCUUAGCCAGUCCAGGCGCCCUUUCUGCUCUCAAAUAUUCAACAGUUAUGCUGGAAUGGAGCGUGGCGGGUUGAUAGCCCGGGAGGAUCCUACUUCA